CGGGGCACUAGCGCGGUGGUCCCACCUGACCCCAUGCCGAACUCAGAAGUGAAACGCCGUAGCGCCGAUGGUAGUGUGGGGUCUCCCCAUGUGAGAGUAGGGAACUGCCAGGCA
rnacentral:rRNA from 1 species